rnacentral:rRNA from 1 species
GACGAACGCUGGCGGCGUGCUUAACACAUGCAAGUCGAACGGAAAGGCCCUGCUUUUGUGGGGUGCUCGAGUGGCGAACGGGUGAGUAACACGUGAGUAACCUGCCCUUGACUUUGGGAUAACUUCAGGAAACUGGGGCUAAUAACGGAUAGGAGCUCCUGCUGCAUGGUGGGGGUUGGAAAGUUUAGGCGGUUGGGGAUGGACUCGCGGCUUAUCAGCUUGUUGGUGGGGUAGUGGCUUACCAAGGCUUUGACGGGUAGCCGGCAUGAGAGGGUGACCGGGCACAUUGGGACUGAGAUACGGCGCAGACGCCUACGGGAGGCAGCAGUGGGGAGUAUUGCACAAUGGGCGGAAGCCUGAUGCAGCAACGUCGCGUGCGGGAUGCCGGCCUUCGGGUUGUAAACAGCUUUCGCCUGUGACGAAGCGUUAGUGACGGUAAUGGGUAAAGAAGCACCGGCUAACUACGUG